UACGUAGGUGGCGAGCGUUAUCCGGAAUUACUGGGCGUAAAGCGCAAGCAGGCGGCGACCUAAGUCUGACGUGAAAUCUCCUGGCUUAACUGGGAGAGGUCGUUGGAAACUGGGUUGCUUGAGGCGAUGAGAGGGGUGUGGAAUUCCCGGUGUAGUGGUGGAAUGCGUAGAUAUCGGGAGGAACACCAGAGGCGGAAGCGGCACCCUGGCAUUAGCCUGACGCUGAGAUGCGAAAGCGUGGGGAGCAAACGGGAUUAGAUACCCCGGUAGUCCACGCUGUAAACGAUGAAUACUGGGUGUAGGGGGGGUUAGAUCCCUCUGUGCCGAAGCUAACGCGAUAAGUAUUCCGCCUGGGGAGUACGGCCGCAAGGCUAAA
rnacentral:rRNA from 1 species